GCUGAUCGCCUCAGAUACAUAAGGACCCAACUGAGCCAGCAAUACCAGUAAAAUCAUGGAUCAAGCCUAUAUGGGCAUGGAAGAAAUAUCAGGCAGCAACAUAAAGUUGAGAAGGCUGGUAGAAACUUCAGAAGACAAUUAUAUCGAUGAUGAAGUGAGUCAAACUGUGCAAUGUGAAACGACUGGACUUGGACUCCCAGAGUCUGAAUUUGUAAAGAAGAGUUACUGCAGAGCUGCUGUGAUUCUUCUGGGUCUGCUGUGUCUUUUCCUCCUGAUUGGAUUCAUAACUGUGGUUUUUCUCUUCACCCAAGGCAAAUCUCCUGGUGAAAUGGACACAGUGUUGCUUCACAGGCUUUACAACAACU